CCUACGGGAGGCAGCAGUGAGGAAUAUUGGUCAAUGGGCUUACGCCUGAACCAGCCAAGUCGCGUGUGGGAAGAAUGCCCUAUGGGUUGUAAACCUCUUUAGUCAGGGAGCAAUUGGCGCUACGUGUAGCGUUAUCGAUAGUACCUAAAGAAAAAGCAUCGGCUACCUCCGUGCCAGCAGCCGCGGUAAUACGGGGGAUGCGAGCGUUAUCCGAAUUGAUUGGGUUUAAAGGGUGCGUAGGCGGAAUGCCAAGUCAGCGGUAAAAUCGCGGGGCUCAACCGCGCUCCGCCGUUGAAACUGGCGUUCUUGAGUGGGCGAGAAGGAUGCGGAAUGCGUGGUGUAGCGGUGAAAUGCAUAGAUAUCACGCAGAACUCCGAUUGCGAAGGCAGCAUACCGGCGCCCAACUGACGCUGAAGCACGAAAGCGUGGGUAUCGAACAGGAUUAGAUACCCCAGUAGUC
rnacentral:rRNA from 1 species